AUCUCUUGAAGGCAAUGAUGCUUAAACGCUCAUCACCUUCACCUCCCUGUUGGACUAGGCCGGGCUUCGUGCCCGGCAUUUUUU
rnacentral:ncRNA from 1 species